GAUAUUGGACAAUGGGCGAAAGCCUGACCCAGUCAUGCCGCGUGUGUGAAGAAGGUCUUCGGAUUGUAACGCACUUUAAGUUGGGAGCAAGGGCAACAACUUAAUACCUUCCUGUUUUGACGUCACCGACAGAAUAAGCACCGGCUAACUUCGUACCAUCAGCCGCGGUAAUACGAAGGGUGCAAGCGUUAAUCGGAAUUACUGGGCGUAAAGCGCGCGUAGGUGGUUUGUUAAGUUGGAAGUGAAAGCCCCGGGCUCAACCUGGGAACUGCUUUCAAAACUGGCAAGCUAGAGUAUGGCAGAGGGUGGUGGAAUUUCCUGUGUAGCGGUGAAAUGCGUAGAUAUAGGAAGGAACACCAGUGGCGAAGGCGACCACCUGGGCUAAUACUGACACUGAGGUGCGAAAGCGUGGGGAGCAAAC
rnacentral:rRNA from 1 species